rnacentral:lncRNA from 1 species
ACAGCGAGACGGGCGGUGGGGCUGAGCCGAGGCCCAGGAACGGAGGUGGAGGAGCAGACCCGGGCGACGCGGCCCGCGAGCGAGAGGGUCGUCCGGGUCAGUCCAGCGCAACUCGGGUCACCAGUCCCAGGGCCCUGGUCCCCUUAUUGGAUCUAUGUCUGGGUUUGCUGAAGCACCCGCUGGGCCCAGGACUGCAGAGACGCCCCUACCCAGGCUGUGCCCCGGGUGGAGGGGGACAGGGGGAAUGGCUUCAUCGCGGGGUUCGGGGCAGGACAGCUCAGGACCUGCGGAGAUACUGGAUGGUGUAGGAUCCCAGGCCAAAGGUGGCGCACCCUGAGAUCAGCAGCCCAGCUCCCUGCAGCCUUGAGGAGGGCGCUGCCUGCGUCUUUGGGAGCCUCAGCUUCCCCUCCGGUUCCGGGCCUUGGAGUGCUGGUCUGCAGCUGCGGCCUGGCUCUGUGCCCGGCCUGACCCUCGUUCACACUGCACACCCCUGGAGGCAGGACAGAAAGUGUGCACAGCGAAGACCCUGACACCCUACUGGUUGAUGAUCCAAAUCCCGAGGUCCCUCUCAGAGUCCGGUGAGAUCCAGAGCCAGCUAGAGGAAGAAAGUGGCCGCGUCAGCUCCCGAAAGGCCGUCUGGGUGAGGUUGAAAGGAAAAGCCAACAGGAGUUCCCAUCGUGGGGCUUCGGAAACAAUCCGACCAGGAACCAUGAGGUUGCGGUUUCCAUCCCUGGCCUGGCUCAGUGGAUUAAGGAUCCGGUGUCUCUGUGGCUAUGGUGUAGGCCGGCAGCCGUAGCUCCCAUUCGACCAGCAGGCUCUCGGGUCCACCUCCUCUCCCCGUGGUCCUGUGCUGCCUCUUCCUACCCUGCUCCUCAGCAGCUCAGUGCAACUCUCCUGUCCCCCGCAUCCUCCCUGGUCGCACGCAGAGAGCAUCUGUGCAAAGACAACAGACGCGGCCACCCAGACCCUUUAGCUCACAGAGGAUGCCCUGAACGGACUCCCAGGGAGCCUACAGAAGACCACGGACUUGAGAAGGCACUGUGAACUGCUUGGUAGCAUCUGCAAGAUGGGGUUUGGUUUCAGGUCUGUGUCCUGCCCGCCACCCUCAGGCCCCGGUGGGCUCAGGAGGGCCUUGGGCACAGCCCGAGGGGCCUCGACCCUCAUACAGUGCAGAGCAAAGUCAGAGAUGGGUGGAGGCAGCUGCUGCUCCGGGUGGGAGCUGAUGACAUCCCGCCUGUCGUGUAGACAUUUGAGUUAACUGGCCCUGGGGUUGCCAAUAAUCUCAGUCAGGUCGAAGCCUCCACUCGGAGACGUUUGGGGCAGAAACCUGCUGAUUUACCCCUUGUUUUAACUCUUGGGGAACAAGGGGAUUGCUGACCGCUCCCACUGGCAGGGAGCAGGGAGUGGAAAGAGAACAGCCCUCGAGGGAGAGGCCAAGGAGCCCGUCUGCUCUGGCUCUGCACCGUCCAGCACAGUGGCCUCAGCCUGUCCCAACUGCGAUGUGCGAAUGUGCACAAGAAACACCUGAUUUCAAAGACGUUGAAAAAAAUGCCAAAUAUCUUUCUAAUAAUUUUAUAUUGAUUGCCUCUGGAAAUUAUGUUUUAGAUGUGUUAAGGUAAAUAAAAUAUAUUAUUAAAUUU